rnacentral:tRNA from 1 species
UUGUAGCUCAGCGGCAGAGCAGCGGACUUUUAAUCCGUGGGUCGGGAGUUCAAAUCUCCCCG